AUUCUUGUAGUUUAUUUUUAAAAUAUUACACUGAAAAUGUAAAGAAAAUUUAUUUUCGAGAAUA
rnacentral:tRNA from 1 species